ACCAGCGGAGGGAUCAUUGCUGGAACAAACGCCCUCACGGGUGCUACCCAGAAACCCUUUGUGAAUUCUUCUCUAUUGUUGCCUCGGCACAGACUGGCUUCCUACGAAGUCCCCUAUUUUCCUUCUCUUCGGAGGGGGUAAGGGAGCAGGUCGGCCGGUGGCCCACUAUAAACUCUUUGUUUUUACUAUGUAUCUUCUGAGUAAACAACUAUAAAUGAAUCAAAACUUUUAACAACGGAUCUCUUGGUUCUGGCAUCGAUGAAGAACGCAGCGAAAUGCGAUAAGUAAUGUGAAUUGCAGAAUUCAGUGAAUCAUCGAAUCUUUGAACGCACAUUGCGCCCGCUGGUAUUCCAGCGGGCAUGCCUGUUCGAGCGUCAUUUCAACCCUCAAAACCUCGGUUUUGGUGUUGGAGGACUACGCUGCUCACCCAGCGUAGCCUCUGAAAUACAGUGGCGGGCUCGCUAGAAUUUUGAGCGUAGUAAUUUAUACCUCGUUUGUAAAGACUAGCGGUGUCUCUUGCCGUAAAACCCCCCCAACUUUCUGAAAAUUGACCUCGGAUCAGGUAGGAAUACCCGCUGAACUUAAGCAUA
rnacentral:rRNA from 1 species